UGCAUAACCUUAAACUUUAAUAAAUACAUUACUCGCCAGGGUACUACGAGCAUAAGCUUGAAACCCAAAGGACUUGGCGGUGCUUUAGCCCCACCUAGAGGAGCCUGUUCUAUAACCGAUAACCCCCGUUAAACCUCACCUUUUCUUGUUCUCCCGCCUAUAUACCGCCGUCGUCAGCUUACCCUGUAAAGGUUAUUUAGUAAGCAAAAUUGAUACAAUCCAAAACGUCAGGUCGAGGUGUAGCAUAUGAAAAGGAAAGAAAUGGGCUACAUUUCCUACUUUAGGAUACAACGGAAAUUGAUAUGAAAUACACACAUUAAAGGAGGAUUUAGUAGUAAAUAAGGAACAGAGAGCCUUACUGAAGCUGGCCCUGAAGC
rnacentral:rRNA from 1 species